rnacentral:rRNA from 1 species
CGUAGGCGCAAGCGUUGUCCGGAAUUAUUGGGCGUAAAGAGCUUGUAGGCGGUUUGUCACGUCGGGAGUGAAACUCAGGGCUCAACCCUGAGCCUGCUUCCGAUACGGGCAGACUUGAGGAAGGUAGGGGAGAAUGGAAUUCCUGGUGAAGCGGUGGAAUGCGUAGAUAUCAGGAGGAACACCAGUGGCGAAGGCGGUUCUCUGGACCUUUCCUGACGCUGAGAAGCGAAAGCGUGGGGAGCAAACAGGCUU